CAUUUUGGACCCAAGAACAGGCCAAAGUCUGCAUCCCUCUUCCUGGGCCUUCAAAAACCAACCCCUCAAGAGUCAGGCUGUGUUCUUUACUACAAGCACAAGUCCGACUAUUUUUGUUUUCGUUUUGUGGUACUGGGGAGUGAACCCAGGGCCUUCGCACUGAGCUCCAUCCCCAGCCCUUUCUUAUUUUUUAUUUUGACACAGGGUCUCACUAAGUUGUUAAGUGGUCCAUGCUGCGCUCGAACUUCCGACCCCCCUGCCUCUGCAUCCCGAGUGCUGGGAUGGCAGGCUUAUCGGGUCAUCUUCAUGAGACGGUUCCGGGAUCACAGACCAGGAUGACCUGAAAAGCCCUCAAGAAACAAUCGAGUAGAGGCUGGGCCGGGAACCCCGCCACCCGGAGCCUCCCCGUCCCCGGUCCCGGACCCACCAGCGUCCCGGAGCUCCUGCAAGAGGGAGUGGUCCAGCUGCGCUCACAACGCAAGGGAAAAGAAAGCCCUUCCGGGCGGGCGGGCGAACCGUUCCGGGGGCAGGGCCAGCGAGGGGGAGACAGACACGGGGAGGCCCACGGCUGGGGACCUGGCGCGAAGGAGGACGUGGCCGCGGGGUGCUCGGCAGCAGGACGACCGAGACGUCCUGUCCCAAAGAGAAGAGCUCAGGCCUGCGCUGCGGGACAUCCAGGGGCAUCAGGGAGGCUUCCUGGAGGAGACGCCCUAACGGGAAGGAAGGCGCAGAUCUAAACGGAGAAAGGCGAGGCCUAGGCGGAAAGCGAGGCAGAUGGGAAGUUAGCUGGGUGUGAAGCCGGGGGAACAACCGCAGAGAUGGCGCUGCUCCCGCGGGCGCCUGCCGGGGCGGGAUCCCCUUAGGAUCACUCGCACCGGAAGUCGAUUCUGGAGGUGUGCGGGCCUGCAGCUCUCGGCGGAACUCACAGGCGCUCGCUCGCGCUCUCUCCCUCCCUCCCUCUCCCAGUCUCACGCAUAGGUGCCGUUGUGAGCACACAAGCUCCACAGGUUGGGAUUUACACUUCUGCAUCUAUCUCAGAAGAGAGGGGAAAGUCUAGGGCGUAGCCCCUAGCUGUCCAUUGAGUCAGGCUGAGCACUGCACCCUCGGGCCUCACACAUGCUCUUUGUUUGAGGAGGGGCCGCCCGCCCUCGCCCAGGGCCCAGCACUGGGCCUGGGAAAGCUCUGUUCCCAGGAGCCUGAGAAGUUGGCCUCUGUCUAAGGCCCUGGAGAGGAGAACCUGGGGGAACCAAGUGCCCUGGGCAGCCGGGAGUCAACCUGCCAGACUCCUCAAACAGCCGGGCCCUCCGGAAGGCUUUGGGCAGGGAGCUGGGGAGCGGGGCCCCAACUCUGGGUGCUGGGAAGACACAGUGGGGUCCCCGGGGCUGGCAGUGCCAGUGGCACCUGUGGCCUGGAUGCGGCCUAGCGAUGCCAACUGUGUCCAGUCCUCCAUAAAGGGCCGGCCUCGCCCACCUGUCCGUGGUGCCACUCAGCUCUCCGGGCAAGACUUUUUGGCCACGCUGGAAAAAUCAUCCUCGUUGUCGAUGUCCUGCUCACCUAGGAGUUGCUGCAACCCUGCCAGUCUGGAGGCGUGGCUUAGCAGCGGAGCCCUCACUGGGCAUGGCUGGGCCCUGAGCUCAAUCCCCAGCACACAAAAGAGAGGAGAAGACCCUCCACCACCCUAGAUGUGCUGGCCCCCAACGUGACAUCUGUGCCACACUUGGCAGUUCCUGCCCUUCUGUCCCCAUCCCUGAUCAUCUAAAUCUUACGACAGCCCCUGAGGCCCCAGAGAGCUUGUGCAGCUGCCCUGAGGACUCCCAGGUAAUGCAGGAAUGGAGGAAACAAGCAGCCCAGACCCAGGUGGGCUGGCUGGGAAGACUCCGGGCUGUGUCCCUGCUCCUUGGACUUGGCAGUUGGGACAGAGACCCCUAGGCUGGAUCUCCGGGUGGAGGCUGGGAGCUGGACUUCCCAGUGGAACCCAGCGACCCCUCAGUGACAGUGACAGCCUAGUCAAGAUAACUGUAUCACCCUGUGCGGGGCCAGAUGGGAAGCGGGAGGCAGGUGGACAGCCCAGGACCCCUCAGGGACAGGCGGUGGUCAGGGCCUGAUGUGCCGAUGCCAGCACAGCCAUUUGCAUCUAAGAGCCCGGAUUCCCGGUGAUGGGGCUGGGGAUGAGGCUUUGGAGAGUCCUCUCUGCCCGAGGAGAGCAGCCUCCUGUUCCCAAGGGCUGGGUGUCUGUCAGUGACAGGACCGUCUUAGACCUGGCCAGGAUGCCAGCCUUCGGGGGCGGGGGCAUCUGGCAGAGCUCACCGCAACUUAAUAAAGCGGAUCAUCCACAGCCCUCCCUCGAACGCUGUAGUGUUUGUCCACAGACCGAAUCAGCAUUACCUGAGCACUGAGAACAGGUCGGAGCCCCUCCCCAGUGUUCAUUCCAGACUGGGAACAUGGGUCAUUCGCUCAACAAACGCUUACUGUGCCCUACAGUGCAGCAGGGUGAUUUCAGGACAGCACUGCCAGAUAAAAUUCAGGAUGUCCAAACUGGGCGUGGGUGCACGCCUAUUAUCCCAGCACUCGGGAGGCUGAGGCAGGAGGGUUACGGUGAGUUCGAGGCCAGCCUGGGCUACAUUGCACCCUCGGGGACUGGGCGACAGGGCCAGAGUGUGGCUCAGGCGUGCUGGCCUUGUGAGCCCCAGGGAGGGCAGGGCUGCAACUGUGGUUCAGG
ensembl:lncRNA